GAGCUAAUACAUGCAAAAAUGCCCCGAGCACAGCGAGGGGUGCAUCUAUUAGACUAAAACCAAUACGGGCUUUUGGCUCGUGCAAAGGUGACUCUGAAUAGCUAAGCUGAUCGCAUGGUCUUGUACCGGCGACGUGUCAUUCAAGUGUCUGCCCUAUCAACUUUCGAUGGUAGUUUAUGUGACUACCAUGGUUGUAACGGGUAACGGAGAAUAAGGGUUCGACUCCGGAGAGGGAGCCUGAGAAACGGCUACCACAUCCAAGGAAGGCAGCAGGCGCGCAAAUUACCCACUCUCAGUUCGAGGAGGUAGUGACGAAAAAUAACAAGGCCGUUCUCGUAGAGGCCGGUUAUUGGAAUGGGUGUAACUUAAAACCGUUAACGAUUAACAAUGAGAGGGCAAGUCUGGUGCCAGCAGCCGCGGUAAUUCCAGCUCUCAAAGUGUAUAUCGUCGUUGCUGCGGUUAAAAAGCUCGUAGUUGGAUCUUUGCUGAGCAUACCGGUGCGCCGACUGGCGUCUACUGGUGUGCGACGCUUGUGAUGUCGGUUUUGCUCUGAUUGCCUUGAGUGGCUGUAAGGGCUGGCUGGCGAGUUUACCUUGAAAAAAUUAGAGUGCUUAAAGCGGGCGUACGCUUGAAUAUUCGCGCAUGGAAUAAUGGAAUAGGAUUUCGGUUCUAUUUUGUUGGUUUUCUGAGCCGAGAUAAUGGUUAAGAGGGACAGACGGGGGCAUUCGUACCGCUACGUGAGAGGUGAAAUUCUUGGACCGUAGCGAGACGUCCGACUGCGAAAGCAUUUGCCAAGAAUGUUUUCAUUAAUCAAGAACGAAAGUCAGAGGUUCGAAGGCGAUCAGAUACCGCCCUAGUUCUGACCGUAAACGAUACCAACUAGCGUUCCGCCGGAGAUGUUCGCGUCCCGGCGGGCAGCUUCCCGGAAACGAAAGUGUUUGGGUUCCGGGGGAAGUAUGGUUGCAAAGCUGAAACUUAAAGAAAUUGACGGAAGGGCACCACCAGGAGUGGAGCCUGCGGCUUAAUUUGACUCAACACGGGAAAUCUCACCUGGUCCGGACACCGUGAGGAUUGACAGAUUGAGAGCUCUUUCUUGAUUCGGUGGUUGGUGGUGCAUGGCCGUUCUUAGUUGGUGGAGUGAUUUGUCUGGUUUAUUCCGAUAACGAGCGAGACUCUAGCCUGCUAAAUAGUUGGUGGAUUCGGUCGUUUGGCCGUGUCCUCGCAACUUCUUAGAGGGACAAACGAUGUUUAGUCGUGCGAAGUUGAGCAAUAACAGGUCUGUGAUGCCCUUAGAUGUCCAGGGCUGCACGCGCGCUACAAUGGAGGAAUCAGCGUGUCACCAUCUCCGAAAGGAGUUGGAAACCCCUUGAAAAUCCUCCGUGAUCGGGAUCGGGAGUUGAAAUUAUUUCCCUUGAACGAGGAAUUCCUAGUAAGUGUGAGUCAUCAGCUCACGCUGAUUACGUCCCUGCCCUUUGUACACACCGCCCGUCGCUGCCCGGGACUGAGCCGUUUCGAGAAAAGCGAGGACUGCUGUGCCGAAGCUCUUCCAGAGUGGAUAGCACCGGCGGAAACGCCUUAAUCGCAGUGGCUUGAACCGGGCAAA
rnacentral:rRNA from 1 species